UCGUGGCCAGUGAGCUGGCGUGUUUUUAAUUUGUUACAUUGUUUUUUGGUUGGUAUUGGCCUGUUUAGGUGACAACCAACACUUUAUAUUACCAGUAACGUGCUAUUACUCGAGUGCUCAACGGAAAUAGAGCAGCGGAGGUUGACAUUCCAUACGCAAAAGGAACAAUUACUUUGGGAAGCGUUUUGGCAGUCGAUUUAACGUUAAUUGCACUAUGGAUAGCUGAUGGCUGGAUACUGAAUGUUAAUUCAGUAGAUGUAGAUCCCAUAGAAAACUUGAAGACAUGUUUACGUAAUAAAAAGUUGAUUGAAUAUAUAUUUAAUAUCACCAGUAACGAUUUCAAAGAGGAAUUUUAUAACAUUGUUGGAGAAUAUCAAUCAAAAACAAAUCAUCUAGUCAAUACAUUGGUAAUUUAUGACCUUCAGAAAGAAUUAACUGAAAUAAUUUGCGUCCAACAGUUUUUACAAUCUGAAAAAGAAUUAAAAAAUUGCAGUAAUGGUAUUUAUGAAUGCUGUGAUACUUUUAUAAAAGAAACAAAAAAUUUUCGUUUACGGCAAUUUAGUGAAAAAAUAUCAACUAUAUCAACUAAUAUCAUUAGUGGUAUAAAAACUUAUAUUACACAGGAUGAAUCCGCCGGAAAAACCGAUUGAAAAGUUAUUAUUAAAAAUAUUGUCAAAAAAGAGUCACGUGUAUAACAGUUAUGAAUCAUAUAUUAUAAUAUUAAAUAAACAUGUCAAAUUUGAAAAAAGAAAGUUUUUAUUUACAAUUAUUUAUUAACCUCUUGUCUAAUAUUAAUGAAAUUUACUUUUAUUAUUAAAUAGUAUGGAAUAAGUAUUAACAGAAUGUAGUAAUAUAACUAUAUAAAUAAAUAAAUUUUAACUACAGCAA